rnacentral:rRNA from 1 species
AGUGAACGCUGGCGGUAGGCCUAACACAUGCAAGUCGAACGGCAGCACAGUAAGAGCUUGCUCUUACGGGUGGCGAGUGGCGGACGGGUGAGGAAUACAUCGGAAUCUACUUUUUCGUGGGGGAUAACGUAGGGAAACUUACGCUAAUACCGCAUACGACCUACGGGUGAAAGCAGGGGAUCUUCGGACCUUGCGCGAUUGAAUGAGCCGAUGUCGGAUUAGCUAGUUGGCGGGGUAAAGGCCCACCAAGGCGACGAUCCGUAGCUGGUCUGAGAGGAUGAUCGGCCACACUGGAGCUGAGACACGGUCCAGACUCCUACGGGAGGCAGCAGUGGGGAAUAUUGGACAAUGGGCGCAAGCCUGAUCCAGCCAUACCGCGUGGGUGAAGAAGGCCUUCGGGUUGUAAAGCCCUUUUGUUGGGAAAGAAAAGCAGCAGGUUAAUACCCCGCUGUUCUGACGGUACCCAAAAAAUAAGCACCGGCUAACUUCGUG